GUUUGAUCCUGGCUCAGGACGAACGCUGGCGGCAUGCUUAACACAUGCAAGUCGAGGGGCCCUUCGGGGUCACUGGCGCACGGGUGAGUAACACGUAGGUCAUCUGCCCCUAUCGCAGACAUAACUCCGGGAAACCGGUGCUAAUAUCUGAUGAGGUCGCGAGAUCAAAGCUUCGGCGGAUAGGGAUGAGCCUGCGGCUGAUUAGCUAGUUGGUGAGGUAAUGGCUCACCAAGGCGACGAUCAGUAGCUGGUCUGAGAGGACGAACAGCCACACUGGAACUGAGACACGGUCCAGACUCCUACGGGAGGCAGCAGUGAGGAAUAUUGGUCAAUGGGAGCAAUCCUGAACCAGCAAUGCCGCGUGUGGGAUGACAGGGCUUCGCCUUGUAAACCACUGUCGGAUGGGACGAGAGGGAGCCUUGGGCUCCUGGGACGGUACCAUCAAAGGAAGGGUCGGCUAACUACGUGCCAGCAGCCGCGGUAAUACGUAGGACCCGAGCGUUGUCCGGAUUCACUGGGUAUAAAGGGUGCGUAGGCGGUCUUGUGCGUCAGAGGUGAAAUAUCCGGGCUUAACCCGGAGGGUGCCUUUGAUACGGCAGGACUUGAGUCCGAGAGAGGAUGAUGGAAUUCCUGGUGUAGCGGUGAAAUGCGUAGAUAUCAGGAGGAACACCGGUGGCGAAGGCGGUCAUCUGGCUCGGAACUGACGCUGAGGCACGAAAGCGCGGGGAUCAAACAGGAUUAGAUACCCUGGUAGUCCGCGCCCUAAACGAUGUAUGCUUGGUGUUGGGCCUUUCGGGGCUCAGUGCCGUAGGGAAUCUGAUAAGCAUACCACCUGGGGAGUACGAUCGCAAGGUUGAAACUCAAAGGAAUUGACGG
rnacentral:rRNA from 1 species